ACCGGCGGCUCGAGUGGUAACCGUUAUUAUUGGGUCUAAAGGGUCUGUAGCCGGCCGGAUAAGUCUCUUGGGAAAUCUGGCAGCUUAACCGUCAGGCUUUCAGGAGAUACUGUCUGGCUCGAGGCCGGGAGAGGUGAGAGGUACUUCAGGGGUAGGGGUGAAAUGAUCGGAUACGCGAAGGAGCACCAAAGGCGAAGGCGGCCAUCCAUAACGUACCUGACGGUAAGGGGCGAAGGUUAGGGGAUCGAACCG
rnacentral:rRNA from 1 species